UAUAUAUUGCAGGUAGGGGUGAAAAUCUAGCUUGCUUUUCGCGAGUCAGCUUGUGUUCGGCUCUAAAUGAGGUCCAGAUCGAAUCGCUCGUUUAGUAAACGAGCCGAAUACGAGCUAAAUUUUUAAACUUAUUUAAUAAACAAGCCAAACAUGAGCUGGCGUCAACUCGCUUGUUCGGCUCGAUAACAGCUCGAAUACAUAUAUUUUAUAUUAUAUAAUAUAUUUAAUUUAUAUUUAUAUAUAUUUGUAUGUAUAAAUAAAUAAUUAUAUAUAAUAUAUAUUUUUAUUAUUUAAUUUUUAGUAAAAGAAAUAUAAAGCCGAGCUCAAUUAUAUGAUGCUGGAUUAACCAAUCAUCUUAUAAAUUCCUAUGUUGAAGAACUAUUCAAAGCAAUAAUGUGACAGUGUUAGAAUCUAAUCAAAAGGAAUCAUGUGACUGUUUUAAAAUGUGGUUGAGAAAUUGUACAAAACAUGCAUUACAUGAUCAAAAGAAGGCUUAUUGAUCAUACAAAAAUAACCAAACUUAUUCUCCUUGUCAAUUUUAAGACUUAUUCUUCUCCUCAAGGAAUAAAAAGCAACAAUAAAACAGGUUCUUAUUCUCCUCGUCAAUUUUAUUCUGAUUUAUGCUUGCUUCAAAUGAUAACAACCCUGAUAUAGCAUAGCAGUAGCUUCCCC
rnacentral:lncRNA from 1 species